GAGAGGGGGGUGGAGGGGGGGAGAGAGAGAGAGAGAGAGAGAGAGAGAGAGAGAGAGAGAGAGAGAGAGAGAGAGAGAGAGAGAGAGAACUACGCUUAGUAUGAUUUUUGUACUAAGAACCAAAAUAC